rnacentral:rRNA from 1 species
AGCAGCCGCGGUAAUUCCAGCUCCAAUAGCGUAUAUUAAAGUCGUUGCAGUUAAAAAGACUCGUAGUUGAAUUUCGGGAUUGGCGCAUCGGUCGUGCCUCACGGGGUAUGAACUGGUGCAGUCAAUUUCUCACCUUCUGGAGAACCGCGAUGUCCUUAAUUGGAUGCCGCGGGGAACCAGGACCUUUACUUUGAAAAAAAUUAGAGUGUUUAAAGCAGGCAUUUUUGCUUGAAUACAUUAGCAUGGAAUAAUAAAAUAGGACGGCAUGGUUCUAUUUUGUUGGUUUCUAGGACCACCGUAAUGAUUAAUAGGGAUAGUUGGGGGCAUUAGUAUUCAAUUGUCAGAGGUGAAAUUCUUGGAUUUAUUGAAGACUAACUACUGCGAAAGCAUUUGCCAAGGAUGUUUUCAUUAAUCAAGAACGAAAGUUAGGGGAUCGAAGACGAUCAGAUACCGUCGUAGUCUUAACCAUAAACUAUGCCGACUAGGAAUCAGACGAUG